rnacentral:rRNA from 1 species
GACGAACGCUGGCGGCGUGCUUAACACAUGCAAGUCGAGCGGUAAGGCCCUUUCGGGGGUACACGAGCGGCGAACGGGUGAGUAACACGUGGGUGACCUGCCCUCAGCUCUGGGAUAAGCCUGGGAAACCGGGUCUAAUACCGGAUAUGACUCCAUGACGCAUGUUGUGGGGUGGAAAGCCUUGUGCGGCUGAGGAUGGGCCCGCGGCCUAUCAGCUUGUUGGUGGGGUGAUGGCCUACCAAGGCGACGACGGGUAGCCGGCCUGAGAGGGCGACCGGCCACACUGGGACUGAGACACGGCCCAGACUCCUACGGGAGGCAGCAGUGGGGAAUAUUGCGCAAUGGGCGUAAGCCUGACGCAGCGACGCCGCGUGGGGAUGAAGGCC